GUCUACGGCCACACCACCCUGAACGCGCCUGAUCUCAUCUGAUCUUGGAAGCUAAGCAGGGUGGGUCCUGGUUAGUACUUGGAUGGGAGAAACAGUAUUUAUCAAGCUUGAUAGGGUCUUGUCCACC
rnacentral:rRNA from 1 species